UACGUAGGGUGCAAGCGUUGUCCGGAAUUAUUGGGCGUAAAGAGCUCGUAGGUGGCGGGUCACGUCGGGUGUGAAAGCCCGGGGCUUAACCCCGGGUCUGCAUUCGAUACGGGUCUGCUGGGGUCCGGCAGGGGAGACUGGAAUUCCUGGUGUAGCGGUGAAAUGCGCAGAUAUCAGGAGGAACACCGGUGGCGAAGGCGGGUCUCUGGGCCGGUACCGACGCUGGAGGAGCGAAAGCGUGGGGAGCGAACAGG
rnacentral:rRNA from 1 species